rnacentral:rRNA from 1 species
UCGAAUGUAGCAAUACAUGGCGAACUGCUCAGUAACACGUGGACAACCUGCCCUUAGGACGGGGAUAAACCCGGGAAACUGGGUAUAAUACCCGAUAGGUCUCGAUUGCUGGAAUGCAUCGAGAUUUAAAGCUCCGGCGCCUAAGGAUGGGUCUGCGGCCUAUCAGGUAGUAGUGGGUGUAGCGUACCUACUAGCCUACGACGGGUACGGGUUGUGAGAGCAAGAGCCCGGAGAUGGAUUCUGAGACACGAAUCCAGGCCCUACGGGGUGCAGCAGGCGCGAAAACUUUACAAUGCUGGCAACAGCGAUAAGGGAACCUCGAGUGCCAGGUUACAAAUCUGGCUGUCGAGAUGCCUAAAAAGCAUUUCAUAGCAAGGGCCGGGCAAGACCGGUGCCAGCCGCCGCGGUAACACCGGCGGCUCGAGUGGUAACCGUUAUUAUUGGGUCUAAAGGGUCUGUAGCCGGCCGGAUAAGUCUCUUGAGAAAUCUGGCAGCUUAACUGUCAGGCUUUCAGGAGAUACUGUCUGGCUCGAGGCCGGGAGAGGUGAGAGGUACUUCAGGGGUAGGGGUGAAAUCUUGUAAUCCUUGAAGGACCACCAGUGGCGAAGGCGUCUCACCAGAACGGACCUGACGGCAAGGGACGAAAGCUAGGGGCACGAACCGGAUUAGAUACCCGGGUAGUCCUAGCCGUAAACGAUACUCGCUAGGUGUCGGCCACGGUGCGACCGUUGUCGGUGCCGUAGGGAAGCCGUGAAGCGAGCCACCUGGGAAGUACGGCCGCAAGGCUGAAACUUAAAGGAAUUGGCGGGGGAGCACCACAACGGGUGGAGCUUGCGGU